GAAACUAGCAGAGCUGUUUCCUGAGCAGUUUGCCUCUCUGCCUGAUGACGUGGAGAAAGAUUCCACUGACUGGAAGUCUGUAAGUGACCACGGUGGCAAGAAUCGCCAUAGGCAUUUAACUUUAUCGGUUGAGAGGUUAACCCUUUUCUUUUCUCUUCAGUGGUAUGACUUACACGCACCAGAACAGGCUCCAUUUCCCGUGAAAUAUGAGGAGAACCUGCCAGCCUUUCAGAAGCUGCUGCUGCUGCGCUGCUUCCGUGUAGAUAGUCUACAGAGCUGUGACUGACUACGUUACUGUCACCAUGGGCGAGAAAUAUGUGCAGCCGCCUAUGAUCAGCUUUGAUGCAAUUUAUGAACAGAGCACACCUUUCUCCCCCAUUAUCGUCAUCCUGAGCCCCGGCUCUGACCCAGCCACGGACCUCAUGAAACUAGCAGAGAGGUCAGGCUUUGGAGGCAACAAGUUCAAGUUUCUUGCUAUGGGCCAAGGCCAAGAGAAGGUGGCACUGCAGUUGCUGGAGAGGGCGGUGUCCCGUGGUCAGUGGUUGAUACUACAGAACUGCCACCUGCUGGUAAAGUGGCUGAAGAAACUGGAGAAGUCCCUUAGAGAUGAUCACCAAGCCCAAGCCCAAUCCCAACUUCCGCUUGUGGGUCACCACCAACCCCAUUAAGGAUUUCCCCAUUGGCAUACUGCAAAAGUCUCUAAAGGUAGUGACGGAGCCUCCCAACGGUCUCAAGCUGAACAUGAGAGCAUAAAAAUCUCCCAUGAGACCUUGACUGCAUGUCCUCACCCUGCCUUCCGCAGCCUGGUGUACGUGCUGGCCUUCUUCCAUGCUGUGGUGCAAGAGAGACGCAAGUACGGCAAGAUUGGCUGGAACGUCCUCUACGACUUCAAUGAGUCUGACUUCUCUGUAAGUGGCACGGGAGCCAUUUGAAAUGAGUGACAAUGUAACUGUGUUCAACAGGUGAUGUAUGGCGGGCGAGCCAUCGAUAGCUUUGACCGCAGGAUCCUGACUGUGUACAUGGAUGAGUACCUCGGAGACUUCCUCUUCUACACCUUUCGUCGCUUCCACUUCUUCAGCAACACGGACGUAGUUUACAAGAUCCCUCCAAAUGGGACCAAGAAAAUAUAUGUUGGUCAGUUGUUAUUUUCAUUACUUUACAUUCUCUUACUUUUAAGAGAAAUAAAAGGUUUCAGUCAUCACUCACAGCUUUACCCUAAAGACAUGUGCACUCACCUAAUAGACCUGCCGCCUCAGACAGGUAUGAGUUGGCAUCUUUCAUCUCUCUUGCCCCUUAAUUGAUUUCAAAGGGAGACAUUGUAAAGUUGAUGGCCUCCAUAUUGACUUCUGAAUACCGAAGAGCAUCCCCGGAAGUAAUAUGUACUAUUUUCAGAAGGAGAAGCUGUUCCAUACUGUUGAAGGAUAUUUGCUUUAUUCUCUUUAAAUGCUCUCUCACACCUCAGGUGAAUCGGGUGGAAGCAUCAGUAGGGACGAGUACAUCAACCAGGUGGCCCAGGACAUUCAGAACAAGCUGCCUAAGUUAUUCAACCUGGACGUGAUCUGAAAAAGGCACAGACAUUUCCCCGACCUCAGUGGUGCUGCUUCAAGAGCUAGAGCGCUUCAACAAGCUAGUGGUCCGCAUGCAGCACUCUCUGGCUGAGCUGCAGAGGGUGAGGGGGGGAGCAGAGGGCAACAAGAUAUUGAGGAAACAAACAGGCAGGUGUUGCGUCUUUGUGCUUCACACAGGUUUAGAUUUGUUCCGAUUCUCUUGUGUCCCCUAGGCCUUGGCUGGUGAGGUGGGUAUGAGCAGUGAGUUCGAGCACUUUUUAAUGGUCACAUCCCUGCCAUCUGGAAGAAGUUGGCACCUGACACUCUUAAGUCUCUCGGCAAUUGGACGAGCCAUUUCAAGAGGCGUUAUGAACAGUAUAGCUACUGGGUGGAUCAGGAAGAGCCAAAGGUUAUGUGGCUAUCAGGACUCCAUAUCCCAGAGUCCUACCUGACCGCCCUGGUCCAAGCCACUUGCAGGAAAAAUGGUACACACAGGUGACCCAGUACCGCAGUGAGGAUGACAUCAGUGACAGACGUGGACAGGGCUGAUUUGUGUCCAGCCUGUAUCUGGAGGGAAGCAGACUGGGACACGGAGAAGGGCUGCCUGGUUAAGAGUAAACCAAGCGUUCUGGUUGUUGAACUGCCCAUUCUCAAAGUCAUCCCCAUAGAGGCAAGCCGCCUCUGAUUACAGAAUACGAUACGGACACCGGUGUACACCACGUCUCUGCGCAGGAAUGCAAUGGGUGUGGGGUUGGUGUUUGAGGCUGACCUGUUCACCACCAUGCACAUCUCCCACUGGGUGCUCCAGGGUGUCUGUUUAUGCCUCAACGCUGACUAAAGACAGACCUCAGCUUCACUGAGCUGCUUAGCUUUUACACAUGUUAAUUAACAUCUGCUUCUUUAGACAGAGAACAAACUUUUAGUAUCUCUGAUUUAUAUUCAAACAAACAAGUUAUGGUGAAAGAUUGUACAUAUUUAAAAAUAUAUCUUUUUUAAUUGAUAGAGACAAGAGAACUAGAUUUUUUAGUCAUUGUCUACUUCAUAGCUUUCAUUAUAUUCUCACUAGAUGGCAGCACACCUCAGUACUGAGCGCUUCACUCUGGGCAGUAGCUCCAGGGAUUUCUCUUUGCUGUUACAGCGGGCUAAAGUGCCAACAGGCUACAGUGGGGUAAUCGUUCAGCCCUAAAGGUCUGCUACUUCUUUAUUAAUGAAUAAACGUUUGCAUUUCA